ACGAUGUGACAGUGUAAAAUGUGAUCAUUAAAUCUGGGCUGAGGUCACUAGAACCCCAUGUCAGCUGCUGUUUGACUUUUUGCAGUGAGGAGGUGCGCAGGGUGUAACGUCACUACACAGCAGCUGUCAUUGAUGAACUUUACCCCUCAACGGGAACUGCGACUACCUGUCAACAUCCCCUCAACAAAGGAACCAAACACUCGACCCCUGAUGUAUCCUAACUUCUGGUCAGACGCGACGGUCCACAAUAAGAAAAGUUGCCGGGGGACUUUUAUUGCCGACGGACCGCUCGAAAGUUUGAAUGAAGAUAGAAGAUUGAGGACUUUGAGAAGUAGGGAACAUUUCUGUUCAAAGUCCAAGAUUUAAGAAGAUGUCAGGGAGAUUACUUAUCUUUACCAGGUCUUCUUCAGUGUCUGUGACAAUGUGCAAACUCCUUCUGCUGAUGAAAGCCACAGGAUGCUACAAAAAGGCACCAGAAGAAAUCUUGUAAGCAUAACCUUGGAACUGUAGGAAUUACCCCCCAUGCAUUAUUAGCUGACCAGAUCUGCUUGGUUUCAUCUGAACUACACCGUUGAUGGGAAUCUGAUUUCUAACAUCCUGCAACAAAUUUCCGGAGACGUGCAACACAAGGGUGAAAGGUCUGAAUCGGGAUUCAAACCACAAACCUUCUUGCUGUGAGUUGAUAGUGGUAACCACUGCACCACCAUGCUGCCCAAGUCAAGGAAAACUGCUUUGGAAAGGUUCUCGAAUCACAGCAGCAUACAGUAGGCCUGCGUCGGGGUAAUGUUUCACAGGUUUUUCCAGAUAAUAAUAUUCCCUUGGACACUAACUUGAAUUUCAGGUCUUAGAUUUUUCACACAUCAAAAGUGAACUACGCAAACUUAACUAAUUAUGUGCAUCGGAGUGCAUGAAAGUUGAGCAUUGCAUCAAAAGCAUGUCCAUUUACAAAGUGUAGGCUCGAAAUGAAACCUCAUAAAAGUCAUUAACUUUAUGCAUUAAACUUUUUGCGAGAGUAACGGCCUUUAAUCUGUAGAGUAAAAUUGCCCUGCGAGGAAAACUUAACUGGCUACAGACGUUUUAUGACUGUUGUGCCUUCGGCUUAAAGGAUAUUAGAAAAGUGAUUUGUGGGGGAACCUCUUGCAGACUUUAAAAACACAUAAUCUAAAAGAUUUGUGACCACACUCAGAGGUGCCAGGUCACUGACUGCAACAUACAAAAUGAAAAGCAACAAAUAAAAGGGCUGUGUCCUGCAAUGGCAAACAGGUAGUCUCAAUUUUGCUUCCACAGAAAUUGCACAAUUUCCUAAUUCUGUGUUUUAUGACUUCCAAUCGCUUUUUUUGAAUACCAGCAGCUGCCUUUCGUUUCUCUGGGUCUCCUCUGUUUAGUUUGGUGUGCAUAUUUCACCCUCGAGCCCCAACAAUGGGUCAGCUGCCACAGCGGAGGUGGAGAGCAAACAUGGAAAGAGCUGACUGGCCAUGAAAUAUUUAUGGUUCUUUAGUGUUUUGAUUGUAUGAGUUUUGACAGCUAUGGCACAUUACUGGGACCCUUCUCCAAACAAAAAGACCUGUCUGUUGUGACUUAGAGAGGAGAGGCAAAGAGCAUGCUUUCUCCACUGUACAUCGAUUCUAGCUUUGAUUUUUUUCCUUUGUCCUCUCUGAUUAUUAAAGAUAUCUCAGAAUUUUUUGUAUCGAUCCCCUUCCCUUUCAGUAUUGUUUUCAUCUUCCACCAUGUUUUCCAAUAUAAUAUUUUUCAAAUCUCUUAGAAAAGAGUGCUUCACUUCUUUCAUCUUUCUGCCUUCUCUUUACCCUUCAUAUCCCAUCGCAUAACCUCUCCCUUGUCAUCUCUGCACCACUUUCAUAAUGACAGAUUGAUGGCUGCCUCUGCACUAUGUCACAGUAACACAUACUUCACCAAGAUUGGUCCCGAUUAAUUUACAACAAGCUGAUUAAAUCUAUUUACACACUGACCGUAAAUAAUUUCACAUUUAGUCUAUUUAAAUCAACACUAAGUAAUCAACACUUAAAUUAAUUACAAUGUCAAUGUUUGACUCAGCUGCAAGUGCUAGAAAAUAAACAAGUGCAUUUAUGAAUAAAUGAAUAGUAACUGUGAGAAUUGACAAGAAAAACGAGUUAAUAUAUAACUGUGUUUUCUUGUUUUCACAUACAGGAGAUGAACAAACAUCCAUCAUUUAUGAAAGCCAGACUUUUCGUUGCUCUAAUUCACAAACAAACCUUUGCUGUUCAGACCUUAUUUUUACUUUACUGUUUACAUUCUACGCUGGGAACAGGAACAAUUCAAAAUUGUGCUCACGGCCUUUAUGUUUUGUAUGAAUACUGGAGCAGCCUCACACCAGGGACUAUCAAUAUCAAGGUCAUUUUCAGUUUUUAAAAAUUUGUUACUGAGUGGUAAGAGUGAGUGCUGUGGGUUUUAGGGUUAGGGCUGACAGCCUAUUCUUAAUCUAAAAAACUUCUGUCAUCAACACCUCAUAAGUCAACGCUAUUAAAUUAACAAUAGAAAACAUAGUAACCAAAUCAACUGAUUCAACUAUCUAAAAGCUUCAUAUCCAUGUUUUUUUUUCAAUUAAGCAUUAGAUUAUAUCAAACGAGUGUAAUUAUAAAUCUCAAUCAUUAAAAACUAAGAGAAAUUAUAGGUAAAGAUUGUUCAGCAAAUAUAUGAUCAUUUAAUAUACUGAUUCAAAAUGUUAACAUCCCGCCUAUGUGGACACUUUGCUCUAUUCCUAAUAAGUACCAAUAUAGAGCUUUGUAAAUUUGUUGUUUUGGGGCAUUUGCUGACAAGGCGGAUGCUGUUUCGCAGACCUCUAGAGGUUUCUUAACAAUGAAACGUAAAUAUGGGUCGCAAUAAGCAACUUACGGAGCAGGCUAUGGGUUGGUUUUUAUGGGAGAACAGUCGUGGAGCUGCUUAUCAAAUGACUGAGCUCCAUCAUUUAACAAUGACUUGCUGAGCCUGUGAAGUCACUGGGUCUGAUCACAUGAGCCCUGCAUGCGGUCUAUGCGUCUUUGUUGGCAGCUUGGUGAACCAUGUGAUUACUUUAGUGAGAUAGGAAAUGGUCACAGAGACUGGAGACUGAGGAAUCUUUAUUUUGCGUUCACAUUUCGGGUGAAAUGGAAGUUGGCGGACAAAAGCUUCAUCUAAGUUUUGCAUAAGCAUAUCUCCUCCUGCUGGUAACACACACAAACACACACUUCUUACAGUGGCUGUGCUGCCCGUCCCCUUUUCCCCAUGUCGUAGAAAGAUUAAAAAGUGCAUUCCCCAUCAAAGGUUGUAUGGCUUUUUUUGCAAAGCUUUCUAAUGGCAGCUCUUUUCCUUUUAUCUGGCUCAGGUCUACAGCCCUGCCUGCUCUGACACACUCUCUGAGUGGGAUAAAAGCAAAUGGAUGAACAAAAUGAACAUUUAUUUAUUUAUUUAUUGCCAUCGCACAAACUUUGACAAGAGAUGAAAUGGUGUAAGUUCCUCUGUUGAACAUGGCUAAAAGUUUUUGUGUCCUAAAUCAUGUGUAUGCAAAGUUGCUGGAAACAGAAUAUUAAACUAAUCUGGGGAUUUAAAAAUACAUUUUUGGAGAGCAGUUUAAUUUUAGAGUAGUGUCAGCAGUAACUACAGUAUGUACACAGAGAGUCAUUGUAGAAGUCCUCCCUCCCUCCCUGCGUCUGUUCUGUGCUACUCUGCAGGGUUUCCCUAAAUAACUCUUAUUUUGGGGAAUUGGUUGGAAGAUGGAUCCAGAAAAAGCGGGUCCACAAGGUCUAUGGUUCGAUCCCCGCCUCCUCCAGUCCAUGUGCCGAAGAGUCACAUGGGCAAGGCACUUAACCCUGAUAUUAAUGUGAUUAAUAUCAGGAUGUGAUUAUAACGUGAUUGAUAAAAAGCACCGUAUGAAUGUGUGUGAAUACUGUGAAGGGCUUUGGGUGAUCAGUAAGACGAUUUUAUUUUGUGUUAUGUAAAGACAGUCCAUUUACCAUUUUACAAGUAAAAGUUGAGCAUUCAAAAUUUUACUUGAGUGAAACUACAGAAGUAUCUUCAGAAAAAUCUACUUAAAUCUGCAAUAUUUGAUUUUUUUAAAUUUAGGCUAGCAGGGACAACGUCAUGUCCCUGCUAGCCUCUGUUCCACUAGCGUGAUUUUGGGAACAUUCAGAAACAAAUUACCAUUAACUAGUUCAACAAAGUUAGACUUUGUGAGCACAGAUAAAACUGCAGCUUGUGUCAACAAAGUGCGUGCUUUGUAACUUGGUUUCAUCCAUAUCCAUAAAAUUUGGUUAUAAUCUUUCUAGUUGUAAUCUCUAACAAUUUCUCCUGUGUUCAGUCUUCUCUGUAUUGCUGUUAUUACAGACAUGUUUGAGCUCACCGAGGGCCCUCGACUCACGUGGACUCACGUGGACUCACCGCUUCUGCCGAGCCGUGGUGGUCAGCCUCCUAGGCCGUAGGGGGUAAAGGAUUUGCUAAAAAACAUAUUAUAACAUACAUAACACUAAGGAACAUCCUUAUCUUGUUGUUAUGUUAUGCACUUUUGGGUAAUCUAUUCAUGGUUGAAUGCACUUAUUGUAAGUCGCUUUGGACAAAAACAUGCUGCUAAAUGAAUGCAAUGUAAUGUAAUCUUCACGUUUGAAGCCAGCCACAUGACAUUCUGAAAGUAGCUGUUCCAAGGCUGUAUUUUUACUUCCUUGUGUAACAACUGAAGGACUAACAUGUUGUCAUGUGGUAGCAGGUUCAGGUAGAACUUAUUAACUACAUAGAAAACCUUUUAUAGACUAAGUAUAUUGUAUGUACAACAUGAGUAACUUGUAACUGGUGAAUGAAGUGAAUAAGAAGUAAAAUAUUUCCCACUUUAAUAGAGUUGAAAAGACAGAUAAAGUAGCAUAAGAUGGAAAUACUCAUCUCAAGCAUACGUGCCUAAAUAUUGCACAUAAGUGAAACUGUGUAACUACAGAAAGAUGUUUUCCUCCUAUAAAUGACAAAUUAGAUUCAUGAUCAACGAACUUUGUGUCCUGCCUAUACAAGUAGCCAGUAGCUGAUUAAGGCUAUUAUUAGGUAAUGACUUGACUUGUAUUAAAGGAUGUUACUUCACAUCACAGAUUUGACCCUCCACAUGUGCUACUGUUCAGUAAAUGUACCAUUAUUACAUAACUGUCACUAGAGGCCCAAGUGGCAGCAAAAGUAAUACAGUUAUUGCUAAAUCUGCAGUGAUUGAGUAAAAAGGCUUGGUUAGAUUAAAACACUGUAUUUGGGUGGAGUAACAGCGCAGUGCAACAGCUGGGACAAAACAAUAAAAAGUGUGAGUUCUCACGCUCAAAAGACACACACACGCACACGGAAACUCCUUGUGUAUUUUUCGAAGUCUUACUGAAAAGGGAGUACAUGUCACACAGUGUAGUGAAUUGUUUAGUGUUCUUGUCCCAGGCAUAUAAAGCCUCGGUGUCUACUUUGGCUGAAAAGACAGAAAACCUUUAGGUUUGGGUUCUUUUAGACACACGAGACAUGAUGGUGUGUAUGUGAGAGUAACAGAUGCCUAAUAGAUGCCUGAAUAAUGAUACUGCUGUCAAAGCAGUGUCCUCUGUUGUACCUGCAUUUAGCUUGUACAAAGACUUGAAACGGGUCCCCUCUGGAGGCCGUGGAAGAAGUUUACCGGACAAAGGAAACUUUCUUUUUAAGCUUUAAUUGUGGAGGCUGCAAAGUCACAUGCAGCAUGACGAGAUAAACCAAAUUAACAAUGUCAAUAAGUAUAACAGUGCUGGUGCACGCAAACUUUGGCUGUGUAAAUAUAGAUAAGAAAAUACAAAACAGCCAACAACAAGCAAGCCAAAAAAAAAAUGUCCCUCAACCAUAUCAUUGUCCGAUAACAGUAGGCCUUCAUGUAAACUCCACUGAAUGUCACUGGCUUAAAAAAAAGGAAUUUGUAUACUGUUAGCUAUGAUGUGCCAGCAGCAGCCUUGUAGAUCCCUCUUCAGAAUAAAUCUCCACAUCCAAAAUCAA